CCUACGGGAGGCAGCAGUGAGGAAUAUUGGUCAAUGGACGAGAGUCUGAACCAGCCAAGUAGCGUGAAGGAUGACUGCCCUAUGGGUUGUAAACUUCUUUUAUAUGGGAAUAAAAUGUUCCACGUGUGGGAUUUUGUAUGUACCAUAUGAAUAAGGAUCGGCUAACUCCGUGCCAGCAGCCGCGGUAAUACGGAGGAUCCGAGCGUUAUCCGGAUUUUUUGUGUUUAAAGGGAGCGUAGGUGGAUUGUUAAGUCAGUUGUGAAAGUUUGAGGCUCAACCGUAAAAUUGCAGUUGAAACUGGCAGUCUUGAGUACAGUAGAGGUGGGCGGAAUUCGUGGUGUAGCGGUGAAAUGCUUAGAUAUCACGAAGAACUCCGAUUGCGAAGGCAGUUCACUGGACUGCAACUGACGCUGAAGCACGAAAGCGUGGGUAUCGAACAGGAUUAGAUACCCCUGUAGUC
rnacentral:rRNA from 1 species